CUACGUAGGGGGCGAGCGUUGUCCGGAAUGAUUGGGCGUAAAGGGCGCGUAGGCGGCGCGGUAAGUCUGGAGUGAAAGUCCUGCUUUCAAGGUGGGAAUUGCUUUGGAUACUGCCGCGCUUGAGUGCAGGAGAGGUUAUCGGAAUUCCCGGUGUAGCGGUGAAAUGCGUAGAGAUCGGGAGGAACACCAGUGGCGAAGGCGGGUAACUGGACUGCAACUUACGCUGAGGCGCGAAAGUGUGGGGAGCAAACAGGAUUAGAUACCCUGGUAGUCCACACUGUAAACGAUGAAUGCUAGGUGUUGGGGGACUGACCCCCUCCGUGCCGCAGUUAACACAAUAAGUAUUCCACCUGGGGAGUACGAUCGCAAGAUUGAAACUCAAAGGAAUUGACGGGG
rnacentral:rRNA from 1 species